rnacentral:lncRNA from 1 species
GAUCAUUUGAUUGCAGGAGGUUGAGGCUGCAGUGAGCCUUGUUCAUGCCACUCCAGCCUGGGUGGCAGAGUGAGACCUUGUCUCCAAAAAAAAAAAAAAAAUUGUCAUAAAGUUUCAACAUCUGUGUCAUCUUAGUGUUGACAUCCCUUGAGGUUUUUUCUCAUUCAAGUUUACAAUGUCCUAGUUCUUGUUAUGAUGAGUGACUUUGGCUGUAUCCUGGUCAUCUUCACUGUUAUGAAGCUCUGGGAGUUAUUUAAAUCUCUCAGCAUGCUUCCUCUGACGGUGCUGGUAUGGGAUGGGGCACUGCCUCGUUACUGCCUGGUGAGGAUGGAGAUCCAGGUUUCCUCCUGUCGCUGUCCUCGGGACCUCUGCUGAGGCCUUUCUGCUGGAAGUAGGAGGAGCACCCUAAUGGCACCGUGGGAUAGGGAGCAGGCCAUGUUAGGCUGGAUGGUGAAAGUUUUCAGCCUGUGACGUUGUCUGGUGUGGGUGGGUCCCCUUUUUUUGUGUGUGGUAUUUUGCUAGAGUAAGGUAGUUAUUUCCUAAAACUUAUCUGUCCUGUUAGUUUUCCUUCUUAAGUACCUAACAAAUAUAAAGACAAUGAACUUUAAGCAAUAAAAGACAAUGAUCCUUUGGAGAGGGGAAACAAAAUUAUCUGUACUUACUAUCUGCGGAGAGUCCGUGGUUCUAGGAAGGGUUACCCCAUCAGGACCUGGCGGUCUCCUGGAGUUGAGGUGCAGUUGGGCAGUCGAAAUGACUAGAGUUCACAGGGGAGAAUGCCUUGGAGGAGAGAGUUGCACAGCAGGAGAACUAAGAUCUGCAGAGAGUUUCCAUCAGAUAUUUAGUUACACACUAAUAGUGCAUGCCGGUGAGGAAACUCACCCAAAAGAAUUAGAGGGAACAGUGUUUGGAGUGGAAAAUAGUGCCUGUUAUCAACAGUCACAGUGGAAAACCUUGUAAUCUAGGUGGCAUUGGAAGAGAACUAAGAUGCCCUAGUAGUAGAAAAAUUAACUCUACAUAAAAACUACCCCUGGUCCCAACUCAGAAAGCUUAAAAACAAGACCAAACUGGAACACAACUGUUUCAAAGUAACUUAAUUGUGUUCCAGAACAAAGCUCAAGAAUAUAGGAAUACAAAAAAUAUACCCAAUAAAGUAAA